UACAUGCAAGUCGAACGAGAAAGUUCUUCGGAUACGAGUACAGUGGCGGACGGGUGAGUAAUACACAGGAAUCUACCCAAUGGAGGGGGAUAGCUCGAGGAAACUCGAAUUAAUACCGCAUAAUCUCCACGGAGUAAAGAGGGCUUCGGCUCUUGCCAUCGGAUGAGCCUAUGCAGGAUUAGCUUGUUGGUGAGGUAAAGGCUCACCAAUGCAACGAUCCUUAGCUGGUUUGAGAGGAUGACCAGCCACAUCGGGACUGAGACACGGCCCGGACUUCUACGGAAGGCAGCAGUAGGGAAUAUUGGACAAUGAGCGAAAGCUUGAUCCAGACAUGCCGAGUGUGCGAUGACGGCCUUCGGGUUGUAAAAGCAAUAUUAGGUAACGAGGAAAAGUUAAGGUGUAAAUACCAUCUAACCUUGACGAUUCAUCACAGACAUCACGCACCGGCUAAAUCCAUGACAGAAAACAGCGGAACUACAGAUGGAGCAAGCGAUAAACACAACUAACAGGACAGUACAGCGACGCGAAAGAUGGCAUAU
rnacentral:rRNA from 1 species